rnacentral:misc_RNA from 1 species
GAUGAAGAACGUAGUGAAAUGCGAUAAGUAAUGUGAAUUGCAGAAUUCAGUGAAUCAUCGAAUCUUUGAACACACAUUGCGCCCGCCAGUAUUCUGGCGGGCAUGCCUGUUCGAGCGUCAUUACAACCCUCAGGCCCCCGGGCCUGGCGUUGGGGAUCGGCGGAGCCCCCCGUGGGCACACGCCGUCCCCCAAAUGCAGUGGCGGUCCCGCCGCAGCUUCCAUCGCGUAGUAGCUAACACCUCGCGACUGGAGAGCGGCGCGGCCACGCCGUAAAACACCCAACUCUUCUGAAGUUGACCUCGAAUCAGGUAGGAAUACCCGCUGAACUUAAGCAUAUCAAUAAGCGGAGGA